rnacentral:tRNA from 1 species
ACCCUCGUAGCUCAAAGGAUAGAGCAACGGCCUUCUAAGCCGUAAGUUGGGCGUUCGAGUCGCCCCGAGGGUGCCA